GCCAAAGGUACAACUCCGUUUUCUCAAAGGCCUAGGGGACCUCAGCAGUUGCCUCUCUUCUUUCCUCUGUGUUCGUCAUUUUAUCAAAUUACUGGAAGCUGGGAGUUGAGGCCAAAAGCUGGGGUAACCAAUUCUGGCCAGUGAGACAUAAGAAGAAGUCAGCUGGAAAUUUCUAGCAAAGCUUUUGAUUUCAGAUGGCUUGAUGCUAGCUCCUCCCUCCCUCUUCUUUCUUCCUGCUUUGAUCUCAGAUAUGAUCCCUGGAGCUGGGGCAGCAAUCUUAUGACCAUGCAGGAAAAGCCAAAAAUUACAAACACAUUGUUGAACUAUAGAACCAAUUUGUAACCAUCUGUUUUUUGGACAUCUUAUUAUGUGAGAGAAAUAA
rnacentral:lncRNA from 1 species